CCGCUCAGAGGUAAACGGGUGGAGUUGAACUGCGAACCCUGAGAAUUCAACUGGUGAGUGUGGUAUGAGCUUGGCAUGAAGGUUGGCUCUGCGGGUCUGCUUAGCUGCAGGUCUUCGCCUUUUGGUGGAGAUGCGCGAUACACUUGUCAAGUGGUGCGCGCUCGUUGAGUUUCUCGGACAUACUUGCCAGUGCACUUUCUCGGGGUGUUCACCACGACCGGCGCCGCUACUUGUCCAAUAUGGUUAAACCGGUCUUGCUUGGUCCCUGUGGCUUUGCUUGAUCGGGAUGGCAGGUAACUCGUUGACUUGUGUGUUGACCUCGGUUGGCAUGCGCUUGGUUUUCGAGUGUAAUCAGCUGACUGUAUUGGUGCUAUGUGGUGCGUCGGAGACGGCGGCUUGUGGUGUGUGCCUGCGUGCCUAUUUGCUGACGGAACCGGGUUUGGUUAUUAUGUUGCCUGUUUUGCAGGCCUGGUGAUGGCUCGGUUUCGCUUGGUGGAUGGGAGCGUGGGUGACACUUAUCAGGGCCUAUAGUCUGUGGUGUUGUGGUAGACUAUCCACCUGACCCGUCUUGAAACACGGACCAAGGAGAGUAACAUGUGCGCGAGUCAUGGGGUGUUACGAAACCCAAAGGCGAAGUGAAAGUAAAGACUUGACUUGUUCGAGUUGAGGUGAGAUCCUGUCGUUUCUCAUGCGCGGUACUUCCAAGCAUUCGAGCGAUGGGCGCAUCACCGGCCCGUCCCAUGGUGUGGUCACUGUCUUCGGAUUGGUGCGUCACCGGGGCGGAGCAUGAGCGCACAUGUUGAGACCCGAAAGAUGGUGAACUAUGCUUGCGCAGGUUGAAGCCAGAGGAAACUCUGGUGGAGGACCGUAGCGAUUCUGACGUGCAAAUCGAUCGUCAAACGUGAGUAUAGGGGCGAAAGACUAAUCGA
rnacentral:rRNA from 1 species